rnacentral:rRNA from 1 species
UCAGGAUGAACGCUAGCUACAGGCUUAACACAUGCAAGUCGAGGGGCAGCAUGGUCUUAGCUUGCUAAGGCCGAUGGCGACCGGCGCACGGGUGAGUAACGCGUAUCCAACCUGCCUUACACUCUUGGACAGCCUUCUGAAAGGGAGAUUAAUACAAGAUGUUAUCAUGAGUAAGCAUUUUCGCAUGAUUAAAGGUUUACCGGUGUAAGAUGGGGAUGCGUUCCAUUAGAUAGUAGGCGGGGUAACGGCCCACCUAGUCUUCGAUGGAUAGGGGUUCUGAGAGGAAGGUCCCCCACAUUGGAACUGAGACACGGUCCAAACUCCUACGGGAGGCAGCAGUGAGGAAUAUUGGUCAAUGGACGAGAGUCUGAACCAGCCAAGUAGCGUGAAGGAUGAAGGUUCUAUGGAUUGUAAACUUCUUUUAUACGGGAAUAAACGAAUCCACGUGUGGAUUUUUGCAUGUACCGUAUGAAUAAGGAUCGGCUAACUCCGUGCCAGCAGCCGCGGUAAUACGGAGGAUCCGAGCGUUAUCCGGAUUUAUUGGGUUUAAAGGGAGCGUAGAUGGGUUGUUAAGUCAGUUGUGAAAGUUUGCGGCUCAACCGUAAAAUUGCAAUUGAUACUGGCAGUCUUGAGUACAGUUGAGGUAGGCGGAAUUCGUGGUGUAGCGGUGAAAUGCUUAGAUAUCACGAAGAACUCCGAUUGCGAAGGCAGCUUACUAACCUGUAACUGACAUUGAUGCUCGAAAGUGUGGGUAUCAAACAGGAUUAGAUACCCUGGUAGUCCACACGGUAAACGAUGAAUACUCGCUGUAGGCGAUAUACAGUCUGCGGCCAAGCGAAAGCAUUAAGUAUUCCACCUGGGGAGUACGCCGGCAACGGUGAAACUCAAAGGAAUUGACGGGGGCCCGCACAAGCGGAGGAACAUGUGGUUUAAUUCGAUGAUACGCGAGGAACCUUACCCGGGCUUAAAUUGCAACCGAAUAUGGCGGAAACGCUAUAGUUAGCAAUAGCGGUUGUGAAGGUGCUGCAUGGUUGUCGUCAGCUCGUACCGUGAGGUGUCGGCUUAAGUGCCAUAACGAGCGCAACCCUUGCCGAUAGUUACUAACAGGUUAUGCUGAGGACUCUGUCGGGACUGCCAUCGUAAGAUGUGAGGAAGGUGGGGAUGACGUCAAAUCAGCACGGCCCUUACGUCCGGGGCUACACACGUGUUACAAUGGGGGGUACAGAGGGCUGCUACCACGCAAGUGGAUGCCAAUCCCAAAAACCUCUCUCAGUUCGGAUUGAAGUCUGCAACCCGACUUCAUGAAGCUGGAUUCGCUAGUAAUCGCGCAUCAGCCACGGCGCGGUGAAUACGUUCCCGGGCCUUGUACACACCGCCCGUCAAGCCAUGGAAGCCGGGGGUACCUGAAGUGCGUAACCGCAAGGAG